rnacentral:misc_RNA from 1 species
AAGAAAAGAAAAGAAAAAAAAAAUAAAACACAAAGUCUUCUUCUUCAAAACGUCACUUUCCCUCUCCCUCAUAUCUCCAUAGUUAAACCUCCAUUAAAGCUUGUCUUCAAGCUUUGAAACCCUUACCAAAUCCCAACUUCUUCUAUAAUCACUCCAUAAAACCUUAUUCCCUUCCCUUGAGAAAGAAAUUUAACAAGAAAGAAAGAAGAAAAGAGGAGAAAAAUUGAAGAUUGGAUAUCAAAGUUGAGGUAAGCACAUCAAAUUGAAAGUUUGAGAUUAAUUGUUGUGUUUUUAGCUUGAAUAACUUAGAAAAAUGCUUAAAAUGAAAUAAAAAUUUGUUGAGGGACCAUGAAUGAUUUUCAGCCAGCAUGUAUAUGGGAGUAUAUUUGCAUGGUUUGAUGGAUUUAAUUGGGUAUAUAAACCUUAGUUAGUUGAAUGACUAUGGUUAAAGUCAUAGAAUCAAGUAAAUGCAACAAAUGA